rnacentral:rRNA from 1 species
CCUACGGGUGGCUGCAGUGGGGAAUAUUGCACAAUGGGGGAAACCCUGAUGCAGCGACGCCGCGUGAGUGAAGAAGGAAUUCGUUAUGUAAAGCUCUAUCAGCAGGGAAGAAAAUGACGGUACCUGAGUAAGAAGCCCCGGCUAACUACGUGCCAGCAGCCGCGGUAAUACGGAGGGGGCCAGCGUUAUCCGGAUUUACUGGGGGUAAAGGGAGCGUAGACGGGAGUGCAAGUCUGGAGUGAAAGGCGGGGGCUCAACCCCCGGACUGCCCUUGAAACUGGCCGGCUGGAGUGCAGGAGAGGUAAGUGGAAUGCCUGGUGUAGCGGUGAAAUGCGUAGAUAUUAGGAGGAACACCAGUGGCGAAGGCGGCUUACCGGACUGUAACUGACGUUGAGGCACGAAAGCGUGGGGAGCAAACAGGAUUAGAUACCCCGGUAGUC